UGGGGAAUCUUGCGCAAUGGUCGAAAGACUGACGCAGCGACGCCGCGUGUGGGAGGACGCCUUUCGGGGUGUAAACCACUGUUGCCCGGGACGAACAGCCCUUUUCGAGGGGUCUGACGGUACCGGGUGAGGAAGCACCGGCUAACUCCGUGCCAGCAGCCGCGGUAAUACGGAGGGUGCGAGCGUUGUCCGGAAUCAUUGGGCGUAAAGGGCGCGUAGGUGGCCCGGUCAGUUCGUGGUGAAAGCGCGGGGCUCAACCCCGCGUCGGCCAUGAAUACUGCGGGGCUGGAGCACUGUAGAGGCAGGCGGAAUUCCGGGUGUAGCGGUGGAAUGCGUAGAGAUCCGGAAGAACACCGGUGGCGAAGGCGGCCUGCUGGGCAGUUGCUGACACUGAGGCGCGACAGCGUGGGGAGCAAACAG
rnacentral:rRNA from 1 species